rnacentral:tRNA from 1 species
GGAAGGGUACUCAAGAGGCCGAAGAGGGCGGUUUGCUAAACCGCUAGUAGGGUCAUAGGGCCCUAGCGAGGGUUCGAAUCCCUCCCCUUCCG